UCCGCGCCUCCCGUCUGGUAUGUGUGCACGGAGGAGGAGGAGAAAGAGUACCUCCUGCACCAUAAGUCGCUGGCACUGGCGAGGAGGAGGCCGAGGCGGCGGAGCAGAUGAAGCUCGAGCGCAGGUGGACGGAGGAGGAGGAGAAAGAGUACAUCCUGCACCAUAAGUCGCUGGCACUGGCGAGGGAGGAGGCCGAGGCGGCGGAGCAGAUGAAGCUCGAGCGCAGGUGGACGGAGGAGGAGGAGAAAGAGUACCUCCUGCACCAUAAGUCGCUGGCACUGGCGAGGGAGGAGGCCGAGGCGGCGGAGCAGAUGAAGCUCGAGCGCAGGUGGACGGAGGAGGAGGAGGCGGAGCGUCGGGAGCGGGAGGAGGAGGAGCGAGCCCGUCAGCCUGCGCCGCCGGUGCUGCCGGGCAAGGACGCUGCUCAGGCGUGGGAGGCAGCGUUCCCUUGGGCUGGGCCGGCCCCGGAGCUCAUCGACCUCACCUCCCCUGACGACGAUGACGAAGGCGAUGCGUAGGGCGGC
rnacentral:lncRNA from 1 species